UACGAGAGGGGCAAGCGUUGUUCGGAAUUAUUGGGCGUAAAGGGUGCGUAGGCGGUUUUGUAAGUCUUGUGUGAAAUCUUCAGGCUCAACUUGAAGACUGCACGAGAAACUGCAGGGCUUGAGUGUGGGAGAGGUGAGUGGAAUUCCUGGUGUAGCGGUGAAAUGCGUAGAUAUCAGGAGGAACACCUGUGGCGAAAGCGGCUCACUGGACCACAACUGACGCUGAUGCACGAAAGCUAGGGGAGCAAACAGG
rnacentral:rRNA from 1 species